rnacentral:rRNA from 1 species
CCUACGGGAGGCAGCAGUGGGGAAUUUUGGACAAUGGGCGAAAGCCUGAUCCAGCCAUGCCGCGUGAGUGAAGAAGGCCUUCGGGUUGUAAAGCUCUUUCGGACGGGAAGAAAUCAUGAGGGCUAAUAUCCCUUGUGGAUGACGGUACCGUAAUAAGAAGCACCGGCUAACUACGUGCCAGCAGCCGCGGUAAUACGUAGGGUGCGAGCGUUAAUCGGAAUUACUGGGCGUAAAGCGUGCGCAGGCGGUUUUGUAAGACAGGCGUGAAAUCCCCGGGCUCAACCUGGGAACUGCGCUUGUGACUGCAUCACUUGAGUACGGCAGAGGGGGGUGGAAUUCCACGUGUAGCAGUGAAAUGCGUAGAGAUGUGGAGGAACACCGAUGGCGAAGGCAGCCCCCUGGGUCGAUACUGACGCUCGUGCACGAAAGCGUGGGUAGCAAACAGGAUUAGAUACCCUGGUAGUCCACGCCCUAAACGAUGUCAACUAGGUGUUGGGUGGGUAAAACCAUUUAGUACCGUAGCUAACGCGUGAAGUUGACCGCCUGGGGAGUACGGCCGCAAGGUUAAAACUCAAAGGAAUUGACGG